UGUGUGGAGAUAAUGAUGGUUACAAGCACAUAUCUCAAACAAUUUAUGUGGAAAUAUCUUUGACUGAAUCUCCACCCA